UGGACGGACCGCUGGUGCACCGGUUGUUCUGCCAAGAGCACCGCCGGGUAGCUAUGUCCGGAUGGGAUAAGCGCUGAAAGCAUCUAAGUGCGAAGCCCACCCCAAGAUAAGAUCUCCCACCGGAAUAACCGGGUAAGACCCCAGCAAGACCAGCUGGUUGAUAGGCCGCAGGUGUAAGGGGGGCAACCCCUUGAGCUGAGCGGUACUAAUCGGUCGAGGGCUUGACCUU
rnacentral:rRNA from 1 species